CAGGUCUGACAGUGAGCACGCCUCAUGUUACAACUCCUGAAACUCCUGCAAAACAAACAUCAGAAACAAAGAAUUGGCUGACAUGGAUGAUAUGGACGUCCGCUGGUUUUGUAAUGGUUAUCUUCCUGGGACUCACACUUCUCUUCACCAGUGGAAGAAAUGAUGGGUGCAUGAGAAGUCUCAA